rnacentral:rRNA from 1 species
UAAAGUUGCUGCAGUUAAAAAGCUCGUAGUUGAACUUCGGGACCAUCAUGUCGGUCGUGCUUCCGGUACGUACUGGGGUCGUUGGUUCCUCCUUUCUGAGGAUUCACGAUGCCAUUAACUUGGUGUGGUGGGGAAUCAGGACUGUUACCUUGAAAAAAUUAGAGUGUUUAAAGCAGGCGCACGCUUGAAUACAUUAGCAUGGAAUAAUGAAAUAGGACGUUCGAACCUAUUUUGUUGGUUUCUAGGAUCAACGUAAUGAUUAAUAGGG